rnacentral:rRNA from 1 species
UGGGGAAUAUUGGACAAUGGGCGCAAGCSUGAUCCAGCCAUGCCGCGUGUGUGAAGAAGGCCUUAUGGUUGUAAAGCACUUUAAGCGAGGAGGAGGCUACUUUAGAUAAUACCUAGAGAUAGUGGACGUUACUCGCAGAAUAAGCACCGGCUAACUCUGUGCCAGCAGCCGCGGUAAUACAGAGGGUGCAAGCGUUAAUCGGAUUUACUGGGCGUAAAGCGCGCGUAGGCGGCUAAUUAAGUCAAAUGUGAAAUCCCCGAGCUUAACUUGGGAAUUGCAUUCGAUACUGGUUAGCUAGAGUGUGGGAGAGGAUGGUAGAAUUCCAGGUGUAGCGGUGAAAUGCGUAGAGAUCUGGAGGAAUACCGAUGGCGAAGGCAGCCAUCUGGCCUAACACUGACGCUGAGGUGCGAAAGCAUGGGGAGCAAACAGGAUUAGAUACCCUGGUAGUCCAUGCCGUAAACGAUGUCUACUAGCCGUUGGGGCCUUUGAGGCUUUAGUGGCGCAGCUAACGCGAUAAGUAGACCGCCUGGGGAGUACGGUCGCAAGACUA